AGGCUCACUUCAGCAGCACAUACACUAAAAUUAAAACAGCAGAGAUUAGCAUGUCCCUUGCACAAAGAUGACAUGCAAAUUCAUGAAGCAUCUCAUAUUUCA
ensembl:snRNA U6 U6 spliceosomal RNA